AAUUUUGCAUUAUUGUCCCAGCAGUUCGGUUGACCCCGACAUUUGGCAAACGCCACGCGGCGUGUAAUCGUGUACCCGGCAAUGUCCGACGUCGUCAUCCAUUGCGUCCACCCGGGAGAAUUCAUUGCGUCCGUAAUAAGAAAAAAGAUCGCGUCGCCUCGAGCACGUCAAAGCACUUCCUCCGGCUUCAACACACCGCGUUGUAAUCGCGUUCGGAUGGCCUUCCGUGUUUCAGGACGAAGCGCACCGAGAACGCCGCCUGUUUUGUGCCCGCAUUAACGAUAUGCCAAGUACAAUGCUGGUCAGAAAAGUCCAAACUAGAACAUCCAAACGUAAAAUUACUUUCGUCGUCGAAGCUGGAGACAAAGGGGUCCCCGUGGAUUCUCCCGUUUCCAGGUUCCAUUGGAGUCAUCUUGGAAAGCAGCCGCUACAUUGUAUCGAAACAUUCCAUACCGCUAGCGGAAGGGCAAAAAACGAAAGACACUCAGCAUCCUGGGUACCAUACGUCUACGUGAGGCAAUUUGAUCCUACGUUUUUGUGGAAGCACGAGCGUUCCAGAAGCACCGUUAUGAUUCUACACGGGGACUGAGAGUACCGGUAUUCACGAAAUGACCGUGCUCGAUUUCGUCGCUGAACAUCACGGAGGGAUCGAGAGUCGUCGCGAACCAACAACACGAUAACGCUUCUCCCGAUCGACUUUGAAUAAAUAGCUAUACAGCUCACCAUUAAGGUGAUUUAUUUUCACGGAGAAUGAAUAAUAAUCGUUAACUGCUAUAAAGUCAAUCAACGAUAAUACAUGAUAUGUACAUAUUGAUUCGUAGUAACUAUCUUACAGGAUAGGCUAUUUUAUGUGAUACCCGGUUUGUUAAAAUUGGGGACUAUAACUGUCGUAACCCAAAUUUGUACAGUAUAAGAAUCCAUAUUUUAGCUUAAAUAAUUUUAGUAAGAUUUUAUCGUUGUAAAUGACUGCUAUAUUUCUAGUUCCUGGAUAGAAUAUCCUAUCUACUAUCUUGAAAUAUCAGAGAAAAUUGAAAUUCCUUCCUGCGUUGUCAUUGUCUUUUUUCAUUCAAUUAAAAGUAUUUGAUCACUAUUUCGUAAGAGCUUCCGUAAUUUAACUUUCCUUAAGAGGCAAAAACACGAAGAACUUUAAAUAUUUCAAUGUAUCCUGAAGAAUAACAAGGAAAACGCUUUGAUUUUUAAGGCUAUGAUGAAUCACACCGAAGAACAGGUAUGUACGUUUUUCGAGGAAAAAAUUUCGGGCAUAUAUUAUAGUAACUGUAUCAUAGCAUAUUUAGUAACUGGAAUAUUUUGAGAACGUAUUAAC